CCUACGGGUGGCAGCAGGGAGGAAUAGUGGGCAAUGGGCGCGAGCCUGAACCAGCCAAGUCGCGUGAGGGAUGACGGCCCGACGGGGUGUAAACCGCGUUUGCCGGGGAGCAACGGGCGCCACGUGGGGCGCCACUGAGAGGACCCGGAGAAAAAGCAUCGGCGAACUCCGUGCCUGCAGCCGCGGUAAUACGGAGGAUGCGUGCGUGAGCAGGAUUUAUUGGGUUUAAAGGGUGCGUCGGCGGAUCGUGAAGUCCGGGGUCAAAUUGAGGGGCUCAACCCCUUCCCGCCCUUGAAACUGGCGCUCUUGAGUGGACGAGAAGUAUGCGGACUGCGUGGUGUAGCGGU
rnacentral:rRNA from 1 species